rnacentral:rRNA from 1 species
AUGCACGCUGGCGGCGUGCCUCAUCCAUGCAAGUCGCGCGAACAGACGAGGAGCUUGCUCCUCUGACGUUAGCGGCGGACGGGUGAGUAACACGUGGAUAACCUACCUAUAAGACUGGGAUAACUUCGGGAAACCGGAGCUAAUACCGGAUAAUAUAUUGAACCGCAUGGUUCAAUAGUGAAAGACGGUUUUGCUGUCACUUAUAGAUGGAUCCGCGCCGCAUUAGCUAGUUGGUAAGGUAACGGCUUACCAAGGCAACGAUGCGUAGCCGACCUGAGAGGGUGAUCGGCCACACUGGAACUGAGACACGGUCCAGACUCCUACGGGAGGCAGCAGUAGGGAAUCUUCCGCAAUGGGCGAAAGCCUGACGGAGCAACGCCGCGUGAGUGAUGAAGGUCUUCGGAUCGUAAAACUCUGUUAUUAGGGAAGAACAAAUGUGUAAGUAACUAUGCACGUCUUGACGGUACCUAAUCAGAAAGCCACGGCUGACUACGUG